rnacentral:rRNA from 1 species
GUACACUCCUGCGGGAGGCAGCAGUGGGGAAUUUUGGACAAUGGGCGAAAGCCUGAUCCAGCCAUGCCGCGUGCAGGAUGAAGGCCUUCGGGUUGUAAACUGCUUUUGUACGGAACGAAACGGCCUUUUCUAAUAAAGAGGGCUAAUGACGGUACCGUAAGAAUAAGCACCGGCUAACUACGUGCCAGCAGCCGCGGUAAUACGUAGGGUGCAAGCGUUAAUCGGAAUUACUGGGCGUAAAGCGUGCGCAGGCGGUUAUGUAAGACAGUUGUGAAAUCCCCGGGCUCAACCUGGGAACUGCAUCUGUGACUGCAUAGCUAGAGUACGGUAGAGGGGGAUGGAAUUCCGCGUGUAGCAGUGAAAUGCGUAGAUAUGCGGAGGAACACCGAUGGCGAAGGCAAUCCCCUGGACCUGUACUGACGCUCAUGCACGAAAGCGUGGGGAGCAAACAGGAUUAGAUACCCGAGUAGUCCCAUGAU